rnacentral:rRNA from 1 species
AUUGAACGCUGGCGGCAUGCCUUACACAUGCAAGUCGAACGGCAGCGCGGGCUUCGGCCUGGCGGCGAGUGGCGGACGGGUGAGUAAUGCAUCGGAACGCGCCCAGGAGUGGGGGAUAACGUAGCGAAAGUUACGCUAAUACCGCAUACGUACUGAGGUAGAAAGCGGGGGAUCGAAAGACCUCGCGCUCAUGGAGCGGCCGAUGUCGGAUUAGCUAGUUGGUGGGGUAAAAGCUCACCAAGGCGACGAUCCGUAGCUGGUCUGAGAGGACGACCAGCCACACUGGGACUGAGACACGGCCCAGACUCCUACGGGAGGCAGCAGUGGGGAAUCUUGGACAAUGGGGGAAACCCUGAUCCAGCAAUGCCGCGUGUGGGAUGAAGGCCCUCGGGUUGUAAACCACUUUUGGCAGGAAAGAAAUCGCCUGUGCUAAUACCACGGGCGGAUGACGGUACCUGCAGAAUAAGCACCGGCUAACUACGUGCCAGCCGCCGCAGUAA